CCAGGAGGCGCAGGGUGGAUGAGGGCUUCGGGUCGAAGUUGCCUCGUUUUGGAGCAGGAGGCGCACAGAGGCCAGGAGCAUGUCCUCCGACGGCCGAUCGUCUGUUAUAAGUUACUGCUCUCCCACCUGUUACCUGUGUAAACCUGGCUCCUCUAAGCCUCGGUUUCCUCAUUCAUAAAGAUGUGUGGCCUCCCCAUGCAAUGUGGCCACCACCCUGGCAACUAUUUUGUGGACGUGUUUGUUGUGGGCAGUGUCUACAACGCAAGAGGGAUGGGAGACGAGCAGGGAGGCCAGACAAAGGUGUCUCGGGAUCCUAAAAGACCUGGCUGUCGAGCAAAGCAGGUUGGCCGCACCAUGUCCGGGAGGAAGGGGACUCAUGACUCCAUGACCCUACAGUCACAGAAUUCCAAAUAGGAGACUAUCUAGGCGUAGCAAACACCCCUCCACAUGGGGCACCGCCUCCUUCAGGGUGCCUGAGGCCAUAUUAAAUUUUAUUUACUAUUUCUUGAA